UUUUGACUCCGGAUCAAGAUAAAGAAGCAACUUCAGAUGUAUUGCCAAUCAAUUAUGAUGGAUUAGCAAAGGCAGUAAAGAAAGGAGACACCAUCUUUCUAGGUCAAUACCUGUUCACAGGAAGUGAAACUACAUCAGUUUGGCUUGAGAUAUGUACUUUACCUGGAAGCGGUGCAGCAGAUAUGUACUCGAAUUGUAAGCAGCGGAUAUAU